rnacentral:rRNA from 1 species
GAUGAACGCUGGCGGCGUGCUUAACACAUGCAAGUCGAACGGUGAACGAGGGAGCUUGCUCCCUCCGGAUCAGUGGCGAACGGGUGAGUAACACGUGGGCAACCUGCCCCAGACUUCGGGAUAACGCUUCGAAAGAGGUGCUAAUACCGGAUACGAACUCCUUGGGCAUCCUUGGGGUUGGAAAGUUUUUCGGUCUGGGAUGGGCCCGCGGCCUAUCAGCUUGUUGGUGAGGUAACGGCUCACCAAGGCGACGACGGGUAGCCGGCCUGAGAGGGCGACCGGCCACACUGGGACUGAGACACGGCCCAGACUCCUACGGGAGGCAGCAGUGGGGAAUAUUGCGCAAUGGGCGAAAGCCUGACGCAGCAACGCCGCGUGAGGGAUGACGGCCUUCGGGUUGUAAACCUCUUUCAGCAGGGAAGAAGCGAAAGUGACGGUACCUGCAGAAGAAGCACCGGCUAACUACGUGCCAGCCGCCGCGGUAAAAC